rnacentral:rRNA from 1 species
CCUACGGGUGGCAGCAGUGAGGAAUAUUGGUCAAUGGGCGCGAGCCUGAACCAGCCAAGUCGCGUGAGGGAGGACGGCCCUACGGGUUGUAAACCUCUUUUGCCGGGGAGCAACGGGCGUCACGUGUGGCGCCCCUGAGAGUACCCGGAGAAAAAGCAUCGGCUAACUCCGUGCCAGCAGCCGCGGUAAUACGGAGGAUGCGAGCGUUAUCCGGAUUUAUUGGGUUUAAAGGGUGCGUAGGCGGGCUUUUAAGUCAGCGGUAAAAAUUCGGGGCUCAACCCCGUCCGGCCGUUGAAACUGGGGGCCUUGAGUGGGCGAGAAGAAGGCGGAAUGCGUGGUGUAGCGGUGAAAUGCAUAGAUAUCACGCAGAACCCCGAUUGCGAAGGCAGCCUUCCGGCGCCCUACUGACGCUGAGGCACGAAAGUGCGGGGAUCGAACAGGAUUAGAUACCCUUGUAGUC